rnacentral:lncRNA from 1 species
AUACCCGUCCAGUCUACAGAAUAUCACAGGCUCUACUUUUGUGUCAAUUUAAAAUGAGGAUACAGAAAAUGAAGGCAAAGGGAAACUGUUGACAAUCCUUUGAAGUCAUAAAUAUACAAGAGCAUGAAUAAGAGAAGAAAAGAUGGAAGAUAAAAAGCAGAAGGGUGCUGGAGAUAUAAUGGUGAAUAAUGUUGCAAUAUGCCCAGUCUUCAUGGAAUCAACAGUCCAGUAGGGAAGGCAGAUAAGUGAGCAUAUUCCUUCUACUUACAGAAAAAGUCAACUGUAAAACAGCCUCAGGCAGGUCUUUUAGGAGAUAUUCCAGAAGGCAUUGUUAUCAUACAAAAUGAUAACUCCAUGAGUAUUAUUUUCCAUGAAGACCAGUGGGACAAGAUGAGGAGAUGGAAGACAGUGAUAUGGAUGAUCCUGAACCUGAGACUGUAUAGGCCUAGGCUAAUGCAUGUGUUUGUGUCUUCGUUUUUAACUAAAAGCUUAAAAAGUAAGAAAAAUAAAAAUAAAACAUUUGAAAAUACAAAAAUCAUAUAGAAUUAAGGACAUAAUAAUAUUUUCGAACAGCUGUACAACGUAUGUGUGUUUUAAGCUAAAUGUUAUUGCAAAAGAGCCAAAAGUUGUUUUUAAAAAGUUUAUAAAAACUUACAAUAAGCUAAGAUUAAUUUAUUAAUGAAGAAAUAAUCUUUGUAUAUGUUUAGUGUAGCCUAAGUGUACAGUGUUUAUAAAUCUACAGUAAUGUCCCAGACCUUCACAUUCACUCAUCACUCACUC